rnacentral:piRNA from 1 species
UGCUGUGACAAAAUGCCUGNGAAAAAUCUU